rnacentral:rRNA from 1 species
UUUAUGGAGAGUUUGAUCCUGGCUCAGGAUGAACGCUGGCGGCGUGCCUAAUACAUGCAAGUCGAGCGAACGGACGAGAAGCUUGCUUCUCUGAUGUUAGCGGCGGACGGGUGAGUAACACGUGGAUAACCUACCUAUAAGACUGGGAUAACUUCGGGAAACCGGAGCUAAUACCGGAUAAUAUUUUGAACCGCAUGGUUCAAAAGUGAAAGACGGUCUUGCUGUCACUUAUAGAUGGAUCCGCGCUGCAUUAGCUAGUUGGUAAGGUAACGGCUUACCAAGGCAACGAUGCAUAGCCGACCUGAGAGGGUGAUCGGCCACACUGGAACUGAGACACGGUCCAGACUCCUACGGGAGGCAGCAGUAGGGAAUCUUCCGCAAUGGGCGAAAGCCUGACGGAGCAACGCCGCGUGAGUGAUGAAGGUCUUCGGAUCGUAAAACUCUGUUAUUAGGGAAGAACAUAUGUGUAAGUAACUGUGCACAUCUUGACGGUACCUAAUCAGAAAGCCACGGCUAACUACGUGCCAGCAGCCGCGGUAAUACGUAGGUGGCAAGCGUUAUCCGGAAUUAUUGGGCGUAAAGCGCGCGUAGGCGGUUUUUUAAGUCUGAUGUGAAAGCCCACGGCUCAACCGUGGAGGGUCAUUGGAAACUGGAAAACUUGAGUGCAGAAGAGGAAAGUGGAAUUCCAUGUGUAGCGGUGAAAUGCGCAGAGAUAUGGAGGAACACCAGUGGCGAAGGCGACUUUCUGGUCUGUAACUGACGCUGAUGUGCGAAAGCGUGGGGAUCAAACAGGAUUAGAUACCCUGGUAGUCCACGCCGUAAACGAUGAGUGCUAAGUGUUAGGGGUUUCCGCCCUUAGUGCUGCAGCUAACGCAUUAAGCACUCCGCCUGGGGAGUACGACCGCAAGGUUGAAACUCAAAGGAAUUGACGGGGACCCGCACAAGCGGUGGAGCAUGUGGUUUAAUUCGAAGCAACGCGAAGAACCUUACCAAAUCUUGACAUCCUUUGACAACUCUAGAGAUAGAGCCUUCCUCUUCGGGGACAAAGUGACAGGUGGUGCAUGGUUGUCGUCAGCUCGUGUCGUGAGAUGUUGGGUUAAGUCCCGCAACGAGCGCAACCCUUAAGCUUAGUUGCCAUCAUUAAGUUGGGCACUCUAAGUUGACUGCCGGUGACAAACCGGAGGAAGGUGGGGAUGACGUCAAAUCAUCAUGCCCCUUAUGAUUUGGGCUACACACGUGCUACAAUGGACAAUACAAAGGGCAGCGAAACCGCGAGGUCAAGCAAAUCCCAUAAAGUUGUUCUCAGUUCGGAUUGUAGUCUGCAACUCGACUACAUGAAGCUGGAAUCGCUAGUAAUCGUAGAUCAGCAUGCUACGGUGAAUACGUUCCCGGGUCUUGUACACACCGCCCGUCACACCACGAGAGUUUGUAACACCCGAAGCCGGUGGAGUAACCUUUUAGGAGCUAGCCGUCGAAGGUGGGACAAAUGAUUGGGGUGAAGUCGUAACAAGGUAGCCGUAUCGGAAGGUGCGGCUGGAUCACCUCCUUUCU